AUGUAAUAAUACGCUUCAACAACCAGUAGGUCAACGCGGGUCAAACUUUAUAAAGGGUUGUUGCAGCGUACAAAUUAAUUGCCCGCAGCAAGAGAGUUUUUUGCAGCGUACAAAGUAAAAGCCCCCUGCAAUAGCCCAUUUAUUUUGCAGCGUACAGAUAAAAGCCCCCUGCAAUAAAAAAAUUUCGCUGCAAAGCUAAUUAAGAAAAACAUUUCAUCUCAAACCUAAGGACCAUUUCCACGCUCAGUACUCCCUCUUCUUCCCUCAGCUUUCACUGCGUACUCUCUCACCUCCUCAUUCUUCUUCUUCAUCAUCUGCUCUCUUUCUCUCUCUAAUUCGUGGUUUUUUUGGGUUUUUUGCAAGUAAUUGUUGAAAUUGGGUGACAAUUCGUCUUGGUUUUUGUGAAAAUUUGCUCGACUCCUUCUCUCCAAGCAUCUGGCCUUCGACCUCAGCCUUCGAACUCAGCCGCCGUCGAACUCAGCCGUCGAACUCAGCAACUCAGGCGUUGCUCGGCCCUGCGUCGCUGUCUUCGCCGAUGGGUCGUAGUUCUCGUAGUGGAGGGACGCCUUUACAUAAUGCAUCAAAACGUGGCCUGGAAAAUACUGUGAUAUACAGUGUGGCCAGCAUCUGAUACAAUUGUAGCAUUCCGCGGCUACUAUCAUCGUAGCUCUGCUGUAGGGAUUGUACUACCAUGAUAGUAGGAUAUUGACUUGGGGGGGGGUGUUAUCACUAUUAUGGAGUACCUUUAGCUUCUUCCUCUACCUCUAUUAUCUUUCACCACGUUUCUUUCGUCUGCAUUUUCUCUGUUAAUUGCAUCUUGUAAAAUUUCCAAAAUAGGCUAAUGUUUUAUCUAUGGAUCAGAGUAUAACUUUUCUCGUAAAAAACAGGUAGCAUCUUGUUUUUGAAUCUCGUACCUUGUAUUAUGUGCCUUGAAAAUUUGGGUAAAUAUUUGGAAUGUUUUGGCAAUGGUUUUUAUCUUAACGUAGAAACCUCUUAAGAAAUCUUAGAUUUGGAAAUGGGAAUGGUCUGUUAAGAUUUUGAGCUGAAGCUUCUCUGUUUAUAGACUCCAAAUGUAUAUAUUAGGAAUUCCAUUUAUUGAUAUAAUAAUUGUUUGUUCCUUUCAAGGUUGUUUUUCCUGGGAAAAUAUUCAUUCAAUUGAGAAACAAACAUUGUGUUCCUUUUUCAAUGGGAAGGUGGAAAAUCGGACUCCGGAUGUCUACAAGGAGAUACGAACUUGGAUUAUGAAGAGGUUUCAUGCCAAUCCAAGCACAAACAUUGAACUGAAAGAUCUGUCGGAGCUGUUUAUUGGGGAUAUAGAUGCAAGAUGUUGACAAGGCAGAGCAAAUAGACUCUUUAAUUGAAAAGUUUUAUCAGUUACAACAUAAGAAAUCCUCUGUACUAUUAGUUCCAAGAGCCAACGUGUCAACAGCGGCAGUGCCUUCAGGCCUAUUUCCGGAGUCGAUCACAGAAGAGUUGGUAGAACAAGAGGGACCUGCAGUUGAGUAUCAUUGCAACUCUUCUUCUGUUGAUUGUUCUUGCAGUUGAGCAGGUGAUGGGAAGGUCUUCACCAAAUGACAAGCUACAGGCCUAUAAAAGGACAGUCUGCUGGACCAGCGUAGGAGAAGUGCAGACAUCGAGGCUGAUUUUUCGAUGAAAUUGGCUGAUAUGUUAAAAUAGUUCAAUGAAUGCUCUAGUUCUUUGAGUAGGCACAGAGAGAUGGACAGAGAGCUUGAAUUGAAGGAACACUAAUGUCCCUGUCUUCCCUGAAGAAGUAUGUGUCACCUAGUUGGGGGCAGCCAUUUGUAGGAGCUAGCAUUUUGGCAGUUUCAGGGAAUGGAGCUAGCAUUUGGAGAGAGGCUGAACUUGAAUCUUGGGACGACAAACUCAAUAAAGGCCUGGUUGUAUUUCGUGACGAUGGAAGCUCAGAGACGGUGGGGGCAGAAGCAAUGUCAUUAUCAUUCGAGUGAGAGAUCGAAGUAGAUUGAUCAUAAGACUCUACGAAGGCUUGCUCAGAACCGUGAGGCAGCAAGGAAAAGCCGGUUGAGGAAAAAAGUCUACACUCCGAGGAUUGCGCCUUAUGCGAGGAAUUUGAUGUGGUUCGUGAGCAAUGGGCCAAGUUUUUUACCAGCAAGUAUUUAUUAUUGGCUUUAGCGCGCUUGAUCGAGUUGGUUUAGUUGUUAUAGAAUAAAUUUUAUAUUAAAAUGUAUGUUUAUGUUGAAAUUGGAACAUAUAUUUAAAUGUAAUAUGUGCACUUAAUUUGGUUUUGGGAUAUAUAGUAUACAAAACUCCAGUUGUUGUUUUUA